GAUGAACGCUGACAGAAUGCUUAACACAUGCAAGUCAACUGUGGCGGACGGGUGAGUAACGCGUAAAGAACUUGCCUCACAGUUAGGGACAACAUUUGGAAACGAAUGCUAAUACCUGAUACUGUGAGAGAGCUUUGCGUCCCAUUAGCUAGUGGGAGAGGUAACGGCUCCCCAAGUCGAUGAUGGGUAGCCGGCCUGAGAGGGUGAUCGGCCACAAGGGGACUGGGACACGGACCUUACUUCCACGGGAGGCAGCAGUGGGGAAUAAUGGACAAUGGACCAAAGUCUGAUCCAGCAAUUCUGUGUGCACGAUGAAGUUUUCGGAAUGUAAAGUGCUUUCAGUUUGGAAUCGGUACCAACAGUAGAAGCGACGGCUAAAUACGUGCCAGCAGCCGCGGUAAUAC
rnacentral:rRNA from 1 species